rnacentral:rRNA from 1 species
GACGAACGCUGGCGGCGUGCUUAACACAUGCAAGUCGAACGGAAAGGCCCUGCUUUUGUGGGGUGCUCGAGUGGCGAACGGGUGAGUAACACGUGAGUAACCUGCCCUUGACUUUGGGAUAACUUCAGGAAACUGGGGCUAAUACCGGAUAGGAGCUCCUGCUGCAUGGUGGGGGUUGGAUAGUUUCGGCGGUUGGGGAUGGACUCGCGGCUUAUCAGCUUGUUGGUGGGGUAGUGGCUUACCAAGGCUUUGACGGGUAGCCGGCCUGAGAGGGUGACCGGCCACAUUGGGACUGAGAUACGGCCCAGACUCCUACGGGAGGCAGCAGUGGGGAAUAUUGCACAAUGGGCGGAAGCCUGAUGCAGCAACGCCGCGUGCGGGAUGACGGCCUUUGGGUUGUAAACCGCUUUCGCCUGUGACGAAGCGUGAGUGACGGUAAUGGGUAAAGAAGCACCGGCUAACUACGUG